GAUGAACGCUAGCGGCAGGCCUAACACAUGCAAGUCGAGGGGUAGAAGGAGCUUGCUCCUUUGAGACCGGCGCACGGGUGCGUAACGCGUAUGCAAUCUACCUUUUACAGGGGAAUAGCCCAGAGAACUUUGGAUUAAUGCCCCAUAGUAUAUAACCUUCGCAUGUUGGUUAUAUUAAAGUUCCAACGGUACAAGAUGAGCAUGCGUCCCAUUAGUUAGUUGGUAAGGUAACGGCUUACCAAGACGAUGAUGGGUAGGGGUCUUGAGAGGGAGAUCCCCCAGACUGGUACUAAGGCACAGACCAGACUGCGACGGGAGGCAGCAGUGAGGAAUAUUAGUGAAUGGUCGCAAGACGGAACCAGCCAUGCCGCGUGCAGAAAGUCGGUCCUAUGGAUUGUAAACUGCUUUUAUACAGGAAGAAACCCUCCCACGUGUGGGAGCUUGACGGUACUGUAGGAAUAAGGAUCGGCUAACUCCGUG
rnacentral:rRNA from 1 species